GAGAGACGUGCGUGCAAAGAGCAGCAACGCUCCUCUUGGACUGCCCGCGUCCCCAACCGCCUCCAGCAAGAGGCUUCAUGGAUGCCUGACAUUUCGUUAUUCACGUAUAUUCUUCGGAUGAGCAUCGCUUUUUACAAAUGCCAGUAUCCUGUGAGGAUCCCCUGGUUGCUUCUGGGGAAGGAUAUAGGGGAUGGGAAUAUGGAGACAUCUCACCUUA